CAGAGAUUCAGAAAGUAGGACAUGCGACUGUUGGGAUUGGAUGCAUUUACGCGGAGGUCAAAUUCUUUACAAAGAGACAUCUGAGUAGAUCAUGCUGGCUAUGCUCUUGACCUGGACCAUAAUAGCCUUAACAGAGAACCUACUCGGUGCAAGCAAGAUGACUCUUUCUCAUCAUCCAGUCCUAAACAUCACAUUUCUUGUAGGCUGAGCAGAGAGUGCGUGAAGAA